rnacentral:rRNA from 1 species
AAAGUUAGCUGCGCUAGACGCGAAACCAGGUGAUCUACCCAUGGUCAGGUUGAAGUUCCGGUAACACGGAAUGGAGGACCGAACCAGUUUACGUUGAAAAGUAUUUGGAUGAACUGUGGGUAGGGGUGAAAGGCCAAUCAAACCUGGAAAUAGCUCGUACUCCCCGAAAUGCAUUUAGGUGCAGCCUUAUUUUAAUCUUACAGAGGUAGAGCUACUGAUUGGACGAGAGGGCUUCACCGCCUAUCAACUCCUGAUAAACUCCGAAUGCUGUAAGAUGAUGAAUAGGAGUGAGGGCAUGGGUGCUAAGGUCCGUGUCCGAAAGGGAAAGAACCCAGACCAUCGGCUAAGGUCCCCAAAUGUAUACUAAGUUGAACAAACGCGGUUUGAUUGCAUAGACAGCUAGGAUGUUGGCUUGGAAGCAGCCAUUCAUUUAAAGAGUGCGUAACAGCUCACUAGUCGAGCGAUCGAGCAUGGAUAAUAAUCGGGCAUAAGUAUACUACCGAAGC